CAGUCGCCACGGUAAUACGGAGGGGGCUAGCGUUGUUCGGAAUUACUGGGCGUAAAGCGCACGUAGGCUGCUUUGUAAGUCAGAGGUGAAAGCCCGGGGCUCAACCCCGGAUGUGCCUUUGAGACUGCAGGGCUAGAACGUCGGAGAGGUGAGUGGAAUUCCGAGUGUAGAGGUGAAAUUCGUAGAUAUUCGGAAGAACACCAGUGGCGAAGGCGGCUCACUGGACGACUGUUGACGCUGAGGUGCGAAAGCGUGGGGAGCAAAUAGGAUUAGAUACCCCUGUAGUCCCUGUCUCUUAUAC
rnacentral:rRNA from 1 species